GACGAACGCUGGCGGCGUGCUUAACACAUGCAAGUCGAACGGAAAGGCCCUGCUUUUGUGGGGUGCUCGAGUGGCGAACGGGUGAGUAACACGUGAGUAACCUGCCCUUGACUUUGGGAUAACUUCAGGAAACUGGGGCUAAUACCGGAUAGGAGCUCCUGCUGCAUGGUGGGGGUUGGAAAGUUUCGGCGGUUGGGGAUGGACUCGCGGCUUAUCAGCUUGUUGGUGGGGUAGUGGCUUACCAAGGCUUUGACGGGUAGCCGGCCUGAGAGGGUGACCGGCGACAAUGGGACUGAGGUACGGCGCAGACGCCAACGGGAGGCAGCAGUGGGGAAUAUGGCGCAAUGGGGGGAAGCCAGAUGCAGCAAUGCCGCGUGCGUGAUGACGGCUUUCGGGUUGUAAACCGCUUUGGCCGGUGACGAAGCGUGAGUGACGGUAAUGGGUAAAGAAGCACCGGCUAACUACGUG
rnacentral:rRNA from 1 species